CUGUCAGCGUAAACUUCUCAUCACUGAUCCUGACAUAAUAGACGUUCACAUUAUAAAGUGAAACAUAUUGUGUUUGAUCUGUGCUUUGAAUUCUGGAAUAUUUGGCGAAGAAUAUUCUCUUGUGAGCAGCUUCCUCCUUAUCAAAUCAAGCACAGACCGAUGUGAGCUCACGCUGAGAGAGCACAUCGUAAACUCAGCCAGAGGGUGGGAGCAGAAAGACUGAAGGCCAGACCUCCAACGAUUGGGUGGGCACGGCGGGAGACAUGGAGCAGUGACAAGAGCUUUACACAAUAUUCCAAGUGAAAGAAUUUCGCCGGGAAGUGCAUGGGAUUUUGGUGAGGAGAUCGGCAGCUCAGAGAGUGAGAGACCAGGAGCAAACAAUUUACCCGCGUCAACAACUGGACCACAUAUAGCAGCACCAAGGUAGGCUGAGGGCAUCAAUUACCUCAACGUCAUUUACAUUACUGUUUUUCCUCAGCACCAGUUCAAUUUAGAUCUGCAGAUUUGUAGAGUUCUGUAUCUUUCAACAACAACGUACAUUUACACA